rnacentral:rRNA from 1 species
CCUACGGGGGGCUGCAGUGAGGAAUAUUGGUCAAUGGACGAGAGUCUGAACCAGCCAAGUAGCGUGAAGGAUGACUGCCCUAUGGGUUGUAAACUUCUUUUAUAUGGGAAUAAAACAGGGUAUGCAUACCUUCUUGUAUGUACCAUAUGAAUAAGGAUCGGCUAACUCCGUGCCAGCAGCCGCGGUAAUACGGAGGAUCCGAGCGUUAUCCGGAUUUAUUGGGGUUAAAGGGGGCGUAGGGGGAUUGUUAAGUCAGUUGUGAAAGUUUGGGGCUCAACCGUAAAAUUGCCGUUGAUACUGGCGGCCUUGAGUACAGUUGAGGUAGGCGGAAUUCGUGGUGUAGCGGUGAAAUGCUUAGAUAUCACGAAGAACUCCGAUUGCGAAGGCAGCCUACUAAACUGCCACUGACAUUGAUGCUCGAAAGUGUGGGUACCAAACAGGAUUAGAUACCCGGGUAGUC